UUGGGUUAAGUCCCGCAACGAGCGCAACCCUUGUCUUUAGUUGCCAUCAUUUAGUUGGGCACUCUAAAGAGACUGCCGGUGUCAAACCGGAGGAAGGUGGGGGAUGACGUCAAGUCCUCAUGGCCUUUAUGACCAGGGCUACACACGUACUACAAUGGCCGGUACAAAGGGCAGCCACUUAGCGAUAAGGAGCCAAUCCCGUAAAGCCGGUCUCAGUCCGGAUUGGAGUCUGCAACUCGACUCCAUGAAGUUGGAAUCGCUAGUAAUCGCAGAUCAGCACGCUGCGGUGAAUACGUUCCCGGGCCUU
rnacentral:rRNA from 1 species